rnacentral:rRNA from 1 species
CAAUAGCGUAUAUUAAAGUUGUUGCAGUUAAAACGCUCGUAGUUGAACAUCUGCCCUUUUCCGGUUAGGUCCGCUCUGCGUGCACCUUCCGAAAUCGGCAUCCGUCUGCGUUGCUUCGCAUUGCAGACCGUUCACUUUGAGGAAAUUAGAGUGUUCAAAGCAGGCUUACGCCUUGAAUACUUCAGCAUGGAAUGAUUGAUAGGACUUCUAUCCUAUCUUGGUCCUAGGGACAGAAGUAAUGGUAAACAGGGUUGGUUGGGGGCAUUCGUACUGAACAGUCAGAGGUGAAAUUCUUAGAUUUGUUCAAGACGAACAACUGCGAAAGCAUUUGCCAAGGACGACCCCAUUAA